UGGCGGACGGGUGAGUAAUGUCUGGGAAACUGCCCGAUGGAGGGGAUAACUACUGGAAACGGUAGCUAAUACCGCAUAACGUCGCAAGACCAAAGAGGGGGACCUUCGGGCCUCUUGCCAUCGGAUGUGCCCAGAUGGGAUUAGCUAGUAGGUGGGGUAACGGCUCACCUAGGCGACGAUCCCUAGCUGGUCUGAGAGGAUGACCAGCCACACUGGAACUGAGACACGGUCCAG
rnacentral:rRNA from 1 species